GCCCUCGUAUCCCAAUUGGCAGAGGAAACGGAUUCAAAACCCGUCCAGUGUGAGUUCGAGUCUCACCGAGGGCACAA
rnacentral:tRNA from 3 species